UUACUCCUACGGGAGGCAGCAGUAGGGAAUUUUCGUCAAUGGGCGCAAGCCUGAACGAGCAAUGCCGCGUGAACGAGGAGGGUCUUCGGAUCGUAAAGCUCUGUUGAAGGGGAAAAAGAGCGGAGAGAGGAAGUGGUCUCCGAUUGAUAUUACCCUUCGAGGAAGUCACGGCUAACUACGUGCCAGCAGCCGCGGUAAUACGUAGGUGGCGAGCGUUAUCCGGAAUGAUUGGGCGUAGAGGGUGCGUAGGCGGCCUGCUAAGUCUGGAGUGAAAGGUACCGGCUCAACCGGUACAG
rnacentral:rRNA from 1 species